UCAGAUAUGUACAUGUCGCAGGGCAUUUGC
rnacentral:piRNA from 1 species